rnacentral:rRNA from 1 species
UACGUAGGGUGCAAGCGUUAAUCGGAAUUACUGGGCGUAAAGCGUGCGCAGGCGGUUGUGCAAGACAGAUGUGAAAUCCCCGGGCUCAACCUGGGAAUUGCAUUUGUGACUGCACGGCUAGAGUGUGUCAGAGGGGGGGUAGAAUUCCACGUGUAGCAGUGAAAAUGCGUAGAGAUGUGGAGGAAUACCGAUGGCGAAGGCAGCCCCCUGGGAUAACACUGACGCUCAUGCACGAAAGCGUGGGGAGCAAACAGG